CUUUGAAGCUCUGAAGCCAGACAUUGACUUCUCUCUAGCUGUGAAAGUCCUAGAUGGCAUCUUCCUCUAAUAUAGGCUGUUUUGUCUACAUUGAGAAUCUGUU
rnacentral:miRNA from 1 species